rnacentral:rRNA from 1 species
AUUGAACGCUGGCGGCAUGCUUUACACAUGCAAGUCGAACGGUAACAGGCCGCAAGGUGCUGACGAGUGGCGAACGGGUGGGUAAUGCAUCGGAACGUGCCCAGUCGUGGGGGAUAACUACUCGAAAGAGUAGCUAAUACCGCAUACGAUCUAUGGAUGAAAGCGGGGGACCGUAAGGCCUCGCGCGAUUGGAGCGGCCGAUGUCAGAUUCGGUAGUUGGUGGGGUAAAGGCUCACCAAGCCCACGAUCUGUAGCUGGUCGGAGAGGACGACCAGCCACACGGGGACUGAGACACGGCCCAGAGUCCUACGGGAGGCAGCAGUGGGGAAUGUUGGACAAUGGGCGCAAGCCUGAUCCAGCAAUGCCGCGUGCAGGAAGAAGGCCUUCGGGUUGUAAACUGCUUUUGUGCGGAACGAAACGGCUCUGGUUAAUACCCGGGGCUAAUGACGGUACCGUAAGAAUAAGCACCGGCUAACUACGUG